rnacentral:rRNA from 1 species
AUGAGUUAAGUAUAAACCCCUUUACAAGUAACAAUUGGAGGGCAAGUCUGGUGCCAGCAGCCGCGGUAAUUCCAGCUCCAAUAGCGUAUAUUAAAGUUGUUGCAGUUAAAAAGCUCGUAGUUGGAUUUCUGUUAAUAAUUUAUAUUAAUAUACAUUUUUUUUUGUAUUUAAUAUGAUAUUAACAUAAUUCAUAUUACUAAUUUUAGUAUAUGAAAUUUUACUUUGAGAAAAUUAGAGUGCUUAAAGCAGGCAAUUGCCUUGUAUACUACAGCAUGGAAUAAUAACAAAAGAUUUUUAUCUUUUUUUUUUAUUGGUUCUAAGAUAAAAAUAAUGAUCAAUAGGGACAGUUGGGGGCAUUUGUAUUUAACAGUUAGAGGUGAAAUUCUUAGAUUUGUUAAAGACAAACUAAUGCGAAAGCAUUUGCCAAGGAUGUUUUCAUUAAUCAAGAACGAAAGUUAGGGGAUCGAAGACGAUCAGAUACCGUCGUAGU